AACGGUCUAUACCUGCGGUACCUGCGGAGGGAUCAUUAACAAUCGGAUUGUUACCCUAUAUCCACCUUGUGUGCAAACUCGAGAAAAAGCCUACUUUGGAGAGAUUAUUCUUUUAAUCUCUCCAAAGAGGUCAUCACAGUCAAUCAUUUUUUUCUUUUCUACUCAUUAUCUAAAAAAUAUAAAUUUAAAUAAAAAACAACUUUUAACAACGGAUCUCU
rnacentral:misc_RNA from 1 species